rnacentral:rRNA from 1 species
GACGAACGCUGGCGGCGUGCCUAAUACAUGCAAGUAGAACGCAGUUGCGAACGGGUGAGUAACGCGUAGGUAACUUCCUCAAAGCGGGGGAUAACUAUUGGAAACGAUAGCUAAUACCGCAUACUGUGAGAUGGACCUGCGUUGUAUUAGGUAGUUGGUGAGGCAAAGGGUGACCAAGGCGGCGAUACAUAGCCGACCUGAGAGGGUGAUCGGCCAAACUGGGACUGGGUACAGGCCCAGGACCCUGAGGGAGGCCGCAGGAGGGAAUCUUCGGACAUGGACGGAAGGCUGACCGAGCAACGGCGCGGGGGUGAAAGAGGUUUUCGGAGCGUAAAGCUAUGUUGGUAGAGAAGCGGUAACUAACCAGAAAGGGACGGCUAACUACGUGCCAGCAGCCGCGGUAAUAC